rnacentral:rRNA from 1 species
AGCAUGGAAUAAUGAAAUAGGACGCGCGGUUCUAUUUUGUUGGUUUCUAGGACCGCCGUAAUGAUUAAUAGGGACAGUCGGGGGCAUCAGUAUUCAAUAGUCAGAGGUGAAAUUCUUGGAUCUAUUGAAGACUAACUACUGCGAAAGCAUUUGUCAAGGAUGUUUUCAUUAAUCAGGAACGAAAGUUAGGGGAUCGAAGACGAUCAGAUACCGUCGUAGUCUUAACCAUAAACUAUGCCGACUAGGGAUCGGACGAUGUUAUUUUUUGACUCGUUCGGCACCUUACGAGAAAUCAAAGUGCUUGGGCUCCAGGGGGAGUAUGGUCGCAAGGCUGAAACUUAAAGAAAUUGACGGAAGGGCACCACCAGGGGUGGAGCCUGCGGCUUAAUUUGACUCAACACGG